rnacentral:rRNA from 1 species
CACGUAGGGUGCGAGCGUUGUCCGGAAUUAUUGGGCGUAAAGAGCUCGUAGGCGGUGUGUCGCGUCGGCCGUGAAAACCUGCAGCUUAACUGUGGGCUUGCGGUCGAUACGGGCAUCACUGGAGUUCGGCAGGGGAGACUGGAAUUCCUGGUGUAGCGGUGAAAUGCGCAGAUAUCAGGAGGAACACCAAUGGCGAAGGCAGCACUCUGGGACGUGACUGGACGCUGAGACGCGAAAGCGUGGGGAGCAAACAGG